GACGAACGCUGGCGGCGUGCCUAAUACAUGCAAGUUGAGCGCUGAAGGUUGGUACUUGUACCAACUGGAUGAGCAGCGAACGGGUGAGUAACGCGUGGGGAAUCUGCCUUUGAGCGGGGGACAACAUUUGGAAACGAAUGCUAAUACCGCAUAAAAACUUUAAACACAAGUUUUAAGUUUGAAAGAUGCAAUUGCAUCACUCAAAGAUGAUCCCGCGUUGUAUUAGCUAGUUGGUGAGGUAAAGGCUCACCAAGGCGAUGAUACAUAGCCGACCUGAGAGGGUGAUCGGCCACAUUGGGACUGAGACACGGCCCAAAAUCCUACGGGAGGCAGCAGUAGGGAAUCUUCGGCAAUGGACGAAAGUCUGACCGAGCAACGCCGCGUGAGUGAAGAAGGUUGUCGGAUCGUAAAACUCUGUUGGUAGAGAAGAACGUUGGUGAGAGUGGAAAGCUCAUAAAGUGACGGUAACUACACAGAAAGGGACGGCUAACUACGUG
rnacentral:rRNA from 1 species